UUGAGCCUGGUCGAUGGGAUGUGCCUGGUUGAAGAAAAAAAAAAAAUGUAUAGCCUUGGUGGGGCAAUGCGGUUUUGGAGUAUCUGGAGAGGCUGCCGGCUGUGAUGCCAGAAUUUUGUGCUCAUAUGGGGACUGAGAGAACCACCACCACAAUCAAGACCUGGGACAGGAGAAUGCAAUGAAAACCCUGUAGUCCAAGGCAGCUUUGUGGAUCAGGCGCUGUGGGCUGAAUCCUGGAGAAGGACAAGUCCAAGCGGUCAGCCUCUAACCACUGUCCUUCUACUGUUGAUCACUGUGGUACUGUAAGCCGUCGUCGGGGAGCUCUGGGAGAAAGAAAACCUCCCUGCCUCCACCUCCCCCUUCCAAGGGCCAGAGUCCUACUUCCCAAAUCGGCAUGUUAAUCUUCUCCGCGGAAAGGGUAUCGUCCAGUGCACUGCAUCAGUGAACUGCAUCCAUCGUUCCUUCAAGGAACAGAAGAGUGAGACAUCUCCCCAGUGGCCUGGUGGACUCUUGAGAAUCCCUGGAAUGAGGAUGAGUCAUUGAACACACGAGCAUUUGCCUCUGGGCCAGUUCAGGACUUGUAAACCGAACAAAUGUCUGAAUAAUGGCAGUACUCUUCUCUCUGAUCACUUCCAUUUCCAUUUCAAUUUCAACGUUCUCCUCCUUUUCGGCUUCUCAUCUUUGAAAGAUAGCUCAGAGAAUGGACUCAAGGGACAAGAUUGGCAGCAAGGAGACUGAUUCAGAGGCUGCUGCAGCGAUUCAGGCUAGAGAUGCUGAGGGUGACAGACAUUCAGUAGAUGUGAAGGCGUAAGAUCA